GGCCAUGGUGGCUGAGUGGUAACGCUUGCGACUCGAAUUCGUCAAGUCGUGGCUUCGAGACUCACCAUGGUCU